GGGCUAGGAAUACAAAUGCACAACAAAGUUCAAAUGAUAGUAAUGGCAAUGACACUUUUAAUGACUGAAGGUGUUACCAUAGAUCCCAAGAAAAACUCUGUGUGAAGUUUAACCUCUAACAUAUUAGCUGAGAAUGUAAGUCCAGGAAACAUUCUUCAGAAGGCCAGUAGUUAGGAAAUGUUUUUUGGAUUAGAUCCCAGAACAGAGAAAGAGAUAAUAAGUAUAUAAAGAACAGGGUUUUGACUUAGAAAAGUUGCUUAAAGAAUUUAAAACAAGAACUUGAAUAAAUGUACAAUCCUGCACGACUGAAAGGUUUUUACAGUAAAGGAUACUGGAUUCUAAGUCUUCGCAAGUAAGUCUUUCACAGAUAAAUGAGUAUUUGAGAUGCACAAUGGUAGUAUAUAUGUACAAAAUAAAAUAGGUUUCUUGUUUUCAUUAAACAAUGGAUUUUAUCAAAUGUUAGUUACUGUAGGGAAACUCUUAGGGAAAAGCAAUGUUCCCUUUGAGGCAAAAUGUAGCUUUGACAUCUCUUUCGCAAACAGAGAAAGUGCCACGUGAUCUGGAUGUCUUUCAAUAAUUAUAUGGGGAACUUUUUGAAUGUGUGUACAGACAAUAAUAAAUUAACAUAAUCCUUGUUAGUUGAAAACAGCAGCGGUGUUGGAUGUGGCUAAAAACAAGGUCUCAGAGUGUUAGCAAACUAAGAGGUUUAUAUCAUAGGAGGGAGGAAUGAACUGCCUCCUUUGGAAUUGGUUAUCUUCUGUUUUGAUAAAUUCCAGGCGUUGUCUCUACAAUGCCAAACAUCACAUUCCUUGGACAAAGCACAAAAUUGCAGAAUCCAUUAAGUAUUCGCACCCUGAAUACACAGAAGUGAGGGCUAAACACUUGGCAUUGAAGUUAAAACUUAUCUUUUAGAUAAGAAUGUGUGAAGGAACCAACCCUAACGGAAAAGGGAUCUCUGGUACUGGAGGCCAGCGGUUAACUGAAGGGAAACUGACAAUACUGGCAGGCGAGACAAAGUAUCAUAACAUUUUAUUAUUUGUGCAGAAGCAGUGGUUAAUUAAGUUAGUAUCAUGAAGAUACAACUUUAUUCACACAUACAAGGACAAAGAAUGUCAAUAAACAAGAAAACUUUGAAUGCUGAAAACUGUCUUCUUCAUUUGAAAGUUUGCUGUAACAGGAUGACGUUGAUUAUAGAAUAUCAGCUGAAAUUUGAUACAUUAACAAAAUAGCAGAAACUGGGAUGCAUCAUCUCAAACAUGCAUCUCUCAUUUAAAAACAGCAUCUAAUAUAAAAAAAAGAUGCAUUUAUCUGUGAGUGAGACGACCAUUUGAAGUACAUAAGUGACAAGGCUCAUGUCUUCAGUUAAAUAAGAGGGAAACCUGAGCUUAUCUAUGAAGCCUGAACAACACAUCUAAAUGUUCUGAUGUAUCUCUCUGAUCAAAGGGGGGUUAAGUCAGAAGUUUAUGAGAUUGAUUUAAGAAAAAUAACACAUGACGUGAGGUCACACACGGUUUUAUAAAAUGACUAAUUUCUGAAUGAUAAUAAAAUGCGCACCAGGCAUACUAUUUUUAGGCACUGGAUCAAAUUGAAGACUGUUUAACUUAUUUUUACUUACUGUACCAAAACACAGUAGUUAGCAAUGUCAAUCUAUCUCUUUUCAGGAUAAUGUUUGAGAAAUACAUAGUUUAGAACAAUAUCUGUGCUGAUAGGGCGAGGUAGAAUAGCACUUCAUGCUUCCAGGGGAAAAGGUGAUUGCUUGAACUAUCCUUGUUGACUUCUGUUUCUAUCUUUUGCAUGAAAACCCUGAGCAAAUAUAAUUGAUUAUGACUGCUAAAAGGAGCAGUUCAGAUCUCUCUAUUAAUAGCCUUUUAAAGGUGAUGAGAGAAAUUGACCUACAGAACGUUACCCUUCGUUGAUGUGGAGGCUGGACCUGGGUUGUCGUUCAGAGAGCUUUUAGAAGAAAGUUCUUUCUGAAUGGAAAAUGGUUUGACCAUUUAUUUUAUUUUCUUAAGAACUUUAUGUAUUUUAUAUUUGCUGCAGCACAAUUUUACUCUAGAAGUUUAACUUGUUAAAUUUGGGUUCGAAGUUUCAUUUCUGCUCAUAAUUAUUUUGUUUUCUGAGAUUCCUAUGUACUCGGGGCUGGAGUUUGAGCACUACUGUGAAAGUUAUCACACCCCUUUUAACGUCAUCUUCGCAUUGGACUAUGAUAACGGAGGACGUUGAGGAAAUACAGAAAAAAGACACUAAGGAAAUACAGAAAAGGUGAUGCUACCGAUGCAACAACACCCAAUUUACAUGUGAUACUUCUGUUACAACUAUGAUCUGAACAAGUUCCCUGACGUCUAAUGCUUGGAUAACAUGUAUGAUGUAGUAACUAAGAGGAGAUUAGUAAGGGUUUAACUGCCAUUUUUGUUGAACAACAUUUUCUCCUGUUUCUGUUAAUUUAGGAAGGUAAGAUUAAUGUAUUUGGUUUCAAUUUCUUUUAUCAGGUGAGGUUUAUCCAUUAAAGGCAGAUCUGUUUGGUUGUUAUUUUGGCCUGGGUUAACCCUGAAGUUACAACAAUCUCCUUUUUGCACAACUUCAGUUUUAAUACCAAGUACAUUAGUUGGUUUCAUAUUCGGUGAUUUUAUAGGGCUUUGUAUGGUUUAGAGGGAAAUAUGUGGAAGAGUUAAAAGGACACAAACAGUAAUCGGACUGUGGAGACAUCAAGAAAGGAUGUUUAAUUAGACAUGUGGUACUUUAAUGUCACGGGUUAGCAGGAUACUGGUCAGUAUUCUCUGUCUUCUCAGAAUGACGCCAAUCCAGAGACUGGCCGUACAAGUAACCUUUUUGGGACUCAGAGACCUAUGGACACAUGAGGACUUUGUGGGACCCUGGGCCAGGAUAAAUGCGAUGGCAGAACAAUAAAGUUGAAAAGACCAAUCGCAGAGACUAAAGAAGGUUUCAGGAAGACCAAGGACAGAGACUGAACUACACUGCUUUUCUGCUGAGAAUUUUACUGAUGUUUUUUCUAUUUUCUGUUAUAACUUUGAAUUUGUCUUUAUGUCGCUUUAAUGUUCUGAAUUGAUUCAAGCUGUUUAUGCACUGUGAUAGAAUGGGAUCAUCCAUUCAAGUGAUAUUCAGCUCCAGAGGUUCAACAUGGUCAAUGUUUUCUGUUACAAAUAUUGUGGUGAAUAGGAAUGAUGAACCAGGACCUGAUUGGCAUGAAAGGUCCAUGAAAUAGAUGAUAAUGACACAUUUUAGAUUCAAAACAGAGAUCUCUCGUUCAGAUUGGCCGAGAAUGGGAUUUCUCUGAGGCCUCCAGACGUUUUUCCCCGCCUUUUAGGACAGGUGGGUUUUUCGACUGGUGUGACCUAAGCCGACCUGAACGUCCCCUUCAUCGAUACGUAAGCUUGGGAGUUUGACUGACAUGGAUGUUUUCCAUGGGUGAGUUGAUUAGAUGUGUUCCUGAAGGAGACUUUUGGGAAGAGCUACAGAGUAGCCGGAUUUGGUCUAAUUAGUGAAUAGGUUUAGUUUAGCAAAGUCAAACACAGUUAAAAUAAUGUGCGCAUAGAAGCUCUAAAUAGGAUCUUAAUUAAUUAGUUGAAUCUGAAAUUUCAGACCUAAACAAGAACAAUCAUUUAGGGUUGCUUAAUAUUGUACAUAGAGUAUCUUCAAUUUCUUUUAUAAUUGUUCACAUUUUUAUUCGUUUCAUCACUUUACUACAUCACUUAUACUCACAGGAUAUUUACAAUAUGAAUAUAAGACCUCUCUCAGCUGUUAAUUAGCUUAACACCUAAUUAGGGGGGAUAUGUGGAGGCGUAAAGCUCUGUUUAAUUAGACAAAAGUGUUAUUAUUGUCUUUACCAUAAUAAAAUAAACUCUGUGAUAAGUUCACUCUGAGUGGAGACAUGCAAGCUGGGAAACAGAUUACAUUAGAGGAAAGUUCUUGGCGAGAGGAAAGACAAAUUAACUUGUUAUUGCAGGCAACCAGGAAAACUGGUGAACAAUGCCAGAUCAACUGACCUAGCAAUCUUAAUAAAGUCAUGAGUUAUGUGUUGUCACGUACGCCAAUCUAAUGUUUUCCAGAUGUUGGGCCGGAGUGUAUUCUCUGGAAAAGUAGAGAUAACAGUGUGAAUGUGCCAAGGAAUGUUAUGUAAAGGAGAAGAAUGAUUUCAAUUGGUUAAGAAGGCCCAAAUACACACCAAUGCUUUGUAUCUGUAUAAAAACCACCCUGCACAGACUGGAGGCCAGGGUGACUUCUGGAAUUUGUGAUGGAUAUGACACUGUGCGCUUUUUGAAGAAUAAAAGUACCCUCUCUUAAAUCUCAUUGAGUAGCACAACUCUGCAUCUAGCUGCAGACCAGGACCAGAAUCUCAACCAGACACCAGAAAUGUUUAAAAGUCAUUUGUUUCCCACUUCACUUCAAGUCUCGUCUUUGAGGGGCAAGUCCAAGUCAAGUCUCAAGUCUUUCGCCCCAAUUCAGAGUCAAGUCUCUAACAACUGAAAUAAACAUUUCUUAUCAAAUCCACAA